rnacentral:lncRNA from 1 species
UCUGUAAGGUCCAGCUUUGGAUGUUGAGCCUGCCCUGGCACUAGUGUGACUUUAUCCCUUGGGGAGUGAGUUUAUUUACUUAAUUAUUAUUUAUUUAUGUAUUUAUUUAUGUUACUAGUUGUCAAAUGGUCCUUUAUCGAAAUAUUUUCCUUUGUACUUUUUACCUAGCUGGGCACUCCUUUUUUUUUCUCCCGACAACCGCCCUUCAGCCUUCAACCUACUGGACCUCUUUGUUGCCCACCACAGUGAUCACUUCAUUCUUUAAG